GUGCCAGCAGCCGCGGUAAUACGUAGGUGGCAAGCGUUGUCCGGAUUUAUUGGGCGUAAAGCGAGCGCAGGCGGUUUCUUAAGUCUGAUGUGAAAGCCUUCGGCUCAACCGAAGAAGUGCAUCGGAAACUGGGAAACUUGAGUGCAGAAGAGGACAGUGGAACUCCAUGUGUAGCGGUGAAAUGCGUAGAUAUAUGGAAGAACACCAGUGGCGAAGGCGGCUGUCUGGUCUGUAACUGACGCUGAGGCUCGAAAGCAUGGGUAGCAAACAGGAUUAGAUACCCUGGUAGUCCAUGCCGUAAACGAUGAGUGCUAGGUGCUGGAGGGUUUCCGCCCUUCAGUGCCGCAGCUAACGCAUUAAGCACUCCGCCUGGGGAGUACGACCGCAAGGUUGAAACUCAAAGGAAUUGACGGGGGCCCGCACAAGCGGUGGAGCAUGUGGUUUAAUUCGAAGCAACGCGAAGAACCUUACCAGGUCUUGACAUCCUUUGACCACUCUAGAGAUAGAGCUUUCCCUUCGGGGACAAAGUGACAGGUGGUGCAUGGUUGUCGUCAGCUCGUGUCGUGAGAUGUUGGGUUAAGUCCCGCAACGAGCGCAACCCUUAUUACUAGUUGCCAGCAUUUAGUUGGGCACUCUAGUGAGACUGCCGGUGACAAACCGGAGGAAGGUGGGGACGACGUCAAAUCAUCAUGCCCCUUAUGACCUGGGCUACACACGUGCUACAAUGGAUGGUACAACGAGUUGCGAGACCGCGAGGUUUAGCUAAUCUCUUAAAACCAUUCUCAGUUCGGAUUGUAGGCUGCAACUCGCCUACAUGAAGCCGGAAUCGCUAGUAAUCGCGGAUCAGCAUGCCGCGGUGAAUACGUUCCCGGGCCUUGUACACACCGCCCGU
rnacentral:rRNA from 1 species